rnacentral:tRNA from 1 species
GGGCCGGUAGCUCAGCAUGGCUAGAGCUUGAGCGACCAUAGCGUUCGGCUGAUAACCGAAAUGGCGAUGCCACGAGAGAGGUCGAGAGUUCGAAUCUCCCCCGGCCCA